GGCCAGUGAUGCAAACAAUAUUUGCUACUCUUGAUGGCUUCGCCAGCUGACGACAAACAAUAAUCACCAAGAUCUUUGAGGCC
rnacentral:snoRNA from 1 species